rnacentral:rRNA from 1 species
CCUACGGGAGGCAGCAGUGAGGAAUAUUGGUCAAUGGGCGCGAGCCUGAACCAGCCAAGUAGCGUGAAGGAUGACUGUUCUACGGUUUGUAAACUUCUUUUAUAAAGGAAUAAAGUGAGGCACGUGUACCGUUUUGCAUGUACUUUAUAAAUAAGGAUCGGCUAAGUCCGUGCCAGCAGCCGCGGUGAUACUGAGGGUCCGGGCGUUAUCCGGAUUUAUUGGGUUUAAAGGGAGCGUAGAUGGGUUGUUAUGUCAGUUGUGAAAGUUUGCGGCUCAAACGGUGAAUUGCAGUUGAUACUGGCAGUCUUGAGUGCAGUUGAGGUAGGCGGAAUUCGUGGUGUAGCGGUGACAUGCUUAGAUAUCACGAAGAACUCCGAUUGCGAAGGCAGCUUACUGAACUGCCACUGACAUUGAUGCUCGAAAGUGUGGGUAUCAAACAGGAUUAGAUACCCCUGUAGUC